AUUGAACGCUGGCGGCAUGCCUUACACAUGCAAGUCGAACGGCAGCACGGGUGCUUGCACCUGGUGGCGAGUGGCGAACGGGUGAGUAAUACAUCGGCACAUGUCCCGUAGUGGGGGAUAGCCCGGCGAAAGCCGGAUUAAUACCGCAUACGAUCUACGGAUGACAGCGGGGGACCUUCGGGCCUCGCGCUAUAGGGUUGGCCGAUGGCUGAUUAGCUAGUUGGUGGGGUAAAGGCCUACCAAGGCGACGAUCAGUAGCUGGUCUGAGAGGACGACCAGCCACACUGGAACUGAGACACGGCCCAGACUCCUACGGGAGGCAGCAGUGGGGAAUUUUGGACAAUGGGCGAAAGCCUGAUCCAGCAAUGCCGCGUGUGUGAAGAAGGCCUUCGGGUUGUAAAGCACUUUUGUCCGGAAAGAAAUCCUUGGCCCUAAUACGGUCGGGGGAUGACGGUACCGGAAGAAUAAGCACCGGCUAACUACGUG
rnacentral:rRNA from 1 species